rnacentral:tRNA from 1 species
AGGGAUUUAGCUUAGUGGUUUGGCUUCCUGCCUUGCAAGCACAAGGACCCAAGUUCAAUUCCUGGUACCCCAA